UUGGAGGGCAAGUCUGGUGCCAGCAGCCGCGGUAAUUCCAGCACCAAUAGCGUAUAUUAAAGUUGUUGCAGUUAAAAAGCUCGUAGUUGAAUUUCGGGGUUCUACCGUUGGUCGGGCUAUUGUCUGUACUGGCGUGUAGAAUUUCUACCUUCUGGGGAACUAUCAUGUUAUUAAUUUAGCGUGGUAGGAAACCAGGACCUUUACCUUGAAAAAAUUAGAGUGUUCAAAGCAGGCUUAUGUCUGAAUACAUUAGCAUGGAAUAAUAAAAUAGGACGGUGGUCCUGUUUUGUUGGUUUCUGAAUCACCGUAAUGAUUAAUAGGGAUAGUUGGGGGCAUUAGUAUUCAAUUGUCAGAGGUGAAAUUCUUGGAUUUAUUGAAGACUAACUACUGCGAAAGCAUUUGCCAAGGAUGUUUUCAUUAAUCAGUGAACGAAAGUUAGGGGAUCGAAGACGAUCAGAUACCGUCGUAGUCUUAACCAUAAACUAUGCCGACUAGGGAUCGGACGAUGUUAACUUUUCUUGACUCGUUCGGCGCCUUACGGGAAA
rnacentral:rRNA from 1 species